rnacentral:rRNA from 1 species
UACGGGGGGGGCAAGCGUUGUUCGGAAUUACUGGGCGUAAAGGGCUCGUAGGUGGCCAACUAAGUCAGACGUGAAAUCCCUCGGCUUAACCGGGGAACUGCGUCUGAUACUGGAUGGCUCGAGUUUGGGAGAGGGAUGCGGAAUUCCAGGUGUAGCGGUGAAAUGCGUAGAUAUCUGGAGGAACACCGGUGGCGAAGGCGGCAUCCUGGACCAAAACUGACGCUGAUGAGCGAAAGCCAGGGGAGCAAACGGG